rnacentral:rRNA from 1 species
GACGAACGCUGGCGGCGUGCCUAAUACAUGCAAGUAGAACGCACAGUUUAUACCGUAGCUUGCUACACCAUAGACUGUGAGUUGCGAACGGGUGAGUAACGCGUAGGUAACCUGCCUGGUAGCGGGGGAUAACUAUUGGAAACGAUAGCUAAUACCGCAUAAUAUUAAUUAUUGCAUGAUAAUUAAUUGAAGGGUGCACUUGCACCACUACCAGAUGGACCUGCGUUGUAUUAGCUAGUAGGUGAGGUAACGGCUCACCUAGGCGACGAUACAUAGCCGACCUGAGAGGGUGAUCGGCCACACUGGGACUGAGACACGGCCCAGACUCCUACGGGAGGCAGCAGUAGGGAAUCUUCGGCAAUGGACGAAAGUCUGACCGAGCAACGCCGCGUGAGUGAAGAAGGUUUUCGGAUCGUAAAGCUCUGUUGUAAGAGAAGAACGGGUGUGAGAGUGGAAAGUUCACACUGUGACGGUAUCUUACCAGAAAGGGACGGCUAACUACGU